CAGCCGCCGCGGUAAUACGGAGGGGGCUAGCGUUGUUCGGAAUCACUGGGCGUAAAGGGUGCGUAGGCGGGUUUUUAAGUCAGAGGUGAAAUCCUGGAGCUCAACUCCAGAACUGCCUUUGAUACUGAAAGUCUUGAGUAUGGGAGAGGUGAGUGGAACUGCGAGUGUAGAGGUGAAAUUCGUAGAUAUUCGCAAGAACACCAGUGGCGAAGGCGGCCCCCUGGACAAAGACUGACGCUCAGGUGCGAAAGCGUGGGGAGCAAACAGGAUUAGAUACCCCCGUAGUCCCUGUCUCUUAUAC
rnacentral:rRNA from 1 species